GCCGUCGUAGCUCAGCGGUUAGAGCACCGACCUGAUAAGUCGGGGGCCGGGAGUUCGAUUCUCCCCGUCGGCA
rnacentral:tRNA from 1 species